rnacentral:rRNA from 1 species
CCUACGGGGGGCAGCAGUGAGGAAUAUUGGUCAAUGGGCGCAAGCCUGAACCAGCCAAGCCGCGUGAAGGAAGAAGGCGCCAGGCGUCGUAAACUUCUUUUGUCGGGGAGCAAAGGCCGCCACGUGUGGCGUUCUGAGUGUACCCGACGAAAAAGCAUCGGCUAACUCCGUGCCAGCAGCCGCGGUAAUACGGAGGAUGCGAGCGUUAUCCGGAUUUAUUGGGUUUAAAGGGUGCGUAGGCGGUCCGGAAAGUCAGCGGGAAAAGCCCGGGGCCCAACUCCGGCGUGCCGUUGAAACUGUCGGACUAGAGACGGCGAGAGGUACGCGGAAUGCGCGGUGUAGCGGUGAAAUGCAUAGAAAUCGCGCAGAACUCCGAUUGCGAAGGCAGCGUACCGG